GUGGGGAAUAUUGCGCAAUGGGCGAAAGCCUGACGCAGCGACGCCGCGUGGGGGAUGAAGCUUCUCGGAGUGUAAACCCCUUUCGGCCCGGACGAAAAAUCCCGCAAGGGAUCUGACGGUACGGGUAUAAGAAGCCCCGGCUAACUACGUGCCAGCAGCCGCGGUAAGACGUAGGGGGCCAGCGUUGCUCGGAAUAACUGGGCGUAAAGGGUUCGUAGGCGGUGUGGCAAGUCGGGAGUGAAAUCCUGAGGCUUAACUUCAGGACUGCCUCCGAAACUGCCAUGCUCGAGUGCGGGAGAGGCGAGUGGAAUUGCAGGUGUAGCGGUGAAAUGCGUAGAUAUCUGCAGGAACACCAGUGGCGAAAGCGGCUCGCUGGACCGCAACUGACGCUGAGGAACGAAAGCUAGGGGAGCAAACAGGAUUAGAAACCCUUGUAGUCC
rnacentral:rRNA from 1 species